GCAUGGCACAAUGAGCGAAUGAGCGGCCAUCUAGAGCUGCAAAACCUUCCCUGGGGCUUGGAGGGAGUCAUGGAAGGCCUGAGUGGAAGGGGGUCAUAAAGAUGACUCACAUUUGACAGAGUCUACAACGCAGAAGGCGCUACAAGGACUACAUGAUGAGAACACCCGGCUGGUUUCCUGCAGCUUGCAGAUAUGAAGAAGUCAAGAACGCCAAUGGUGAGGAAAUGCAGGCACAGAGGGUGAUUUGCCUGAAGACACAAAGCUAAGUAAGCAGAGCCGG